CAAAUUGAAUGUCUCCAGCAUAUGGACAUUACCCAGCAUGCCAGGUAUACGUCAGGAAAUGUUGCCUUGCAAAAUAAUAACAGGAUCUGCUUCUCAGUGUUUGUCAGUGUAAAAACAACACCCUCUAUAUUUUCCAGCAAAUGUGUCAUAUGGGUCAUUCCACUCAUUGGCAGGUGGACUUGUUCUUCCUGCCGACUGAGUCAGUCAGCAUCGGAACAUUUGAAUGGAUGUAUGUCAACCUCCUAGGAAGGAAAAAUAUCAAUAUCAACAAUACAAUUUGUAAAUAUUGAGAGCCGUAAUAUCCACGAGGGUUUUGCCAAUUGAUUCUGACAACAUCUCUGAGAUGUAGAUAACACACCUAGUAAGACUGCCCCUGAUUUACAAAUGAAGAAAUCGAGGUUGAGAGAAGUUAAGAGAUUUACUGAGAGUUAACAGCCUCUCGUGACUCUGAAGGUGUGGCUGGGGUGUGGACCUAACUCUCAGUGGAAUGCGGCUUUCCCUGGACACCUAAGGGCACAGGAAUGCACGGCUCCCACAGCUGCCCCAACUCUCAGGAAGGCAAGGCAAAGCAAACAUGGAUGUUGACUGCAUUUCUGAGUGGAUUCCAUCUCCAAAACCAUUUUGAGAGACUUGCAGAGGCAACAAUUCCAAGGAGCCUAGGAUGGCAGGCCCCGGGCUCCAGGUAGAUGCCAUCUAAAGCAUGUGAAGCAGUUUUAAAGAUUAAACAAGACUAUGUUGUUCUUCACUGACCUUUCAUCCUUUUGUGACUGUAGCCAGAAAACUUGAAGCUGAGGUAAAAAUAAAUGGUAGAUGGGAUAAGCCUGCUUUAUUCUCAAUGUGUUUUCAAUUUUAUACUUUUUUUCCAAAGUUAGGUCUUUAAGGUGGAUCUCAGUUUACAAAAAUGACAAAUAAAGUAAUGGUCAUAAUCUCAGAUUCUAAUCAACUAGUUGCUUUCUUUCCCUUGUAAUUUUUUUUGGCUGGUGCUCCCUUUUUCAAAAUAUUUCUCUAUUUCUUUGACACUAUAAAUAUCAUGGAAGUGGGAAUAUACAAUUUCAAAGUUCUGGACAGUUUCAUUCUUCCUGUUUCUCUCUUAAGUCAAUCCUUACUGUUGUCACUAAAAAGUCACCUAUUCACAAGGCAAAUGGAAAAAAUUAAGAUUUGUCAAAAAUGACGCUGGCCCAGAAAUGAGAAAUACUGUUGAAAUUUAGGAAAUAAUUUUCUAAAUUAAAGUUUUCUGGGCAACUGUCACAGCUGAAUUCCCCAGAGGGUAACUCUCCAGGGCUGACUGCUGACCUUGUUUCAGCAAAAUGCACAUCAGUGCCACACUCAGUCCUUGUGGCCACAUCACCUGACAUGUUUGAUUUUUUAAAAAUGGUGCAGGGACUCUGAAGUACUAGGCAACAUGUGAGUAAUAACAAACAUAUCUACUUGGUCUUUUACUCAGCUGUCACUUCCAUUGCAAAAAGCUUAUUUGAGAAUUGUUGUUAUUGUUGCUUACAGUCUGCUUGGUCCCUGGACUCAAGGGUUCUCCAUCUAGGAAAUGAGAAAUGGCAAACAAA